GUGGAUAUAGCUCAGUGGCAGAGCACAUGCUUAGCAUGCACAAGGUCCUGGGUUCAAUUCCCAGUACCUUCA
rnacentral:tRNA from 1 species